AAGAUAAUUCCACAUUUUGGUUGACAAGUAAAUAAAUGCUUUCUGAAAGUAAUGUUCUGGCACCAUCAAGCAGUCAGAAAACCAUAACAGCUGAAAUUAAUUUCCAAUGAGUAAUUCACUAACAGCACAAAAGUGUGAUCAAUAUAGUUUAUUCAAGAAAGCUUAAGUAAACAUACAAAAAUACAUCAACAAUUCUCUAAAUAUGCGAACUUUAGAAUAAAUGGGCAUUGUUUUUAAAGCACUGACAGAAGUCAAUGACAGCUUGCCUUGCUGAACAGCAAUAUGUUUCCUAUAUUUCCUCUACAUAAAAAAAUCUCAAGAACAUUUUGACUAUUGAUGUCUGUCACCCAGUGUAUUGCAAGAAAGGGUUAAACACAUGCACAGGUUUAAAGAUCUGGAUACACUGAGGACUUGUGCAUAACUUGAAUGUGUCUUAAAAAAUAGAAAAAAUAAAUCACUGUAGUCAACAUAUGAUACACUAUAUAAAAAUAGUGCAUUCUUACACUCUCUUGUUUCUGGUAAAGUACAGACAAUUCAUCCAUAAUUUCUUGUUAAUUUCACCAUUAGCUAGAAUCAGUGAUGAGAGAUUAAUCUUCUGGUUAUAUAAUAAAGUUUGCCACAUCUUCACUCAGUUAUGCGACCAGGAUUUAUUGUAGCACAAACUAAGAAAUACAACAGAACACUAAACAUACCAAAUUGUGAAUCAUGAGCACAUCUGAAGAUCAGGAAGUGCGCAUUUUAAAUUCCAACGCCUUAGAGCAGCUUAGAUAUUAUAUACAGAAGAUUAUAUAUGUGUGUGUGUGUAUAUAUAUAUAUAUAUAUAUAUAUAUAUAUAUAUAUAUAUAUAUAUAUGUAUAUACACACACACACACACAGUAUGUAUAUUGUGUGUGUUUACAUAAGAGAAAAUCAAAGCAUUGUCAAAUAUAUCAUAAAGCAAUUUAUCAUAAAUCCACUCCAGUCCUACAGACACACUGCCCUACAAAGUACGAAAUACUAGCAUAAAAAAAAUCUAACAAAAGUUUCAUCCACAUACACCACCUCUGAGUUUCCUACAGACACACUGCCCUACAAAGUAAGAAAUACUAACAUAAAAAUCUAACAAAAGUUUCAUCCACAUACACCACC
ensembl:lncRNA